rnacentral:tRNA from 1 species
GGGGGCGUAGCUCAGUUGGGAGAGCGCUUGAAUGGCAUUCAAGAGGUCAGGGGUUCGACUCCCCUCGUCUCCACCA